rnacentral:rRNA from 1 species
UACGUAGGGUGCGAGCGUUAAUCGGAAUGACUGGGCGUAAAGGGUGCGUAGGCGGUUUGCUAAGACGGAUGUGAAAUCCCCGGGCUCAACCUAGGAACAGCAUACGUGACUGGCAGGCUAGAGUAUCGAAGAGGGGGGUAGAAUUCCACGUGUAGCAGUGAAAUGCGUAGAGAUGUGGAGGAAUACCGAUGGCGAAGGCAGCCCCCUGGUCAGAUACUGACGCUGAGGCACGAAAGCGUGGGGAGCAAACAGG